rnacentral:rRNA from 1 species
AUGCACGCUGGCGGCGUGCCUAAUACAUGCAAGUCGAGCGCACAGACGAGGAGCUUGCUCCUCUGACGUUAGCGGCGGACGGGUGAGUAACACGUGGAUAACCUACCUAUAAGACUGGGAUAACUUCGGGAAACCGGAGCUAAUACCGGAUAAUAUAUUGAACCGCAUGGUUCAAUAGUGAAAGACGGUUUUGCUGUCACUUAUAGAUGGAUCCGCGCCGCAUUAGCUAGUUGGUAAGGUAACGGCUUACCAAGGCAACGAUGCGUAGCCGACCUGAGAGGGUGAUCGGCCACACUGGAACUGAGACACGGUCCAGACUCCUACGGGAGGCAGCAGUAGGGAAUCUUCCGCAAUGGGCGAAAGCCUGACGGAGCAACGCCGCGUGAGUGAUGAAGGUCUUCGGAUCGUAAAACUCUGUUAUUAGGAAAGAACAAAUGUGUAAGUAACUAUGCACGUCUUGACGGUACCUAAGCAGAAAACCACGGCUAACUACGU